UUUUCCUUUUUACACGAUUGUAUCUAAAAUAUUACAAAACUAGUCAAACAUGUUACUAUGUUAAGAAUGAGUAAUAAUUUGAUAAUAACAUUUAGUAUCGUGUUAACUGUGUUACAAGAAUGUAAAAAAUAAAUAUUUAUAUUUUUUUUUCCAACACAGUACAGUAAAUAGUGAUUGGUAAAUAGAGAUGGGUGAACAUUUAGAAAAUAGACAUGUCUCUGACUUGACCAAUUUUUUCGAAAAUUUGCAGAGAACAAAUCAUUCAGUAUCUACCAUGCCUCUAACAUCAGAAAGUACGGACUCUAUCAGUACAAUGAAAACUGUAAAAGAAAUGGCAAAACAUUUUGAAAAUAGUACCUCGGGAAAUGUAUUGAACUUUUCAAAUGUCCAAAAACUGCAAAAUAUUCAAACAAUAAGAGGGAAAUCGCAAUAUAAAGCAUCAAAAAGUAAAGAACUCAAAGCAGGAGAUCAAGUUGAAGUAAAAUCUUGUAAAUUCAACAACAAAAUUUCAGAAUACGUAUGUGAUAAAAAUAUAUCUGCAACUUCGUCAAUAAGAAAUCUAGCAAAUAAUACAGAACGUAGCAAAACUAUUACAACAAGUGAAGAUUUACAAAAGAAAAGCAAACAAUUUAUGUCUAGUAGUAUAAAAAUUAGCGAAAAAAUCAAUAAAGAAGACGGAUUAUUUCGUAGUAGUGAACCAAUUCAAAAAGUAAGUCCUAAAAAUACAAAAGGAGAUGAGCUUGAAGAAAUUCGUAAAAAUCUGUUAUCCUAUAUGGAUAAAAUCAACGAAAUGAUGCAAAAUGAUGGGUAUAAUAUUGAUAGUGGCAAUAAUGAGAUUGAAAUAUGUGUCAAAGAUAAACCAGAAAUUAUCGACAAGCAAGACAUAGGAGUUCUCGAAGAAGCUUGUAACUUUAGCAUAUUUGAAAAUAAAAAUGCACUGAUAGAAAACUAUACAGAAGAAGAAAAACAAAUUUUAGGUAAUGAUUUGUUGAAAGCCACUGCAGUCACGAGUACAGGUGAUAUUGACAAUAUUGACAGAACCAGUAGCGAAAGUGGUAUUUUUGAUGAAGCAUCAAAUAGUUCUGAUAAUAUUUAUGAAGAAGUAUUCAUUGAUUCCAAUGAUCACUUGUAUCUGAAUUGCAAUUUUUAUGGCUUGUAUCCAAAGUACCAUAUUAACGAAAGCACGCUAUAUAAGAAUCAUGUCUUAAGUAACUAUCAACUAACAGAUACAAAAAACAAAUUAAAAUGUAUUAUUGAAGAAAUGAUACAAUCUGAAAAGGAAUAUAUUUUGGAUUUAUCAAUAAUUAUUUUUGAGUAUCAAAAACUGGUUAAGCUGGAUGGAAUCAGCAACUAUGAAGACAUUUUCGGAAACAUUGAAGAUAUCUAUAAGUUACAACUCGAGUUCUCUAAGCAGCUUGAAUUAUCAAAUCAACCUGAGGAUGUCUUGAAAACGUUUUGCCAACAUGAAACUUUGUUUAACAUGUAUCCAACAUUUUUUAAACAAACAUUAGACGGUAGCCAUGUUCUGGAAAAGUAUUCUGAUUUAUUACAGAAAAUUCAGAAGAAAACUAACAACCCACAAAAUCUGUCUUUUUACUUGGUAAAACCUCUACAGAGACUGGUCAAAUACAAGAUGUUUUUAGAAAGCAUAUAUAAGGAGCUUGAAGAAGAGCAAAGAGGGAUCUGGGAUACAUUCAAAGCCUUAAAAAUUGUAGAGUGGACUUUAUAUUGCGGAAAUCGAGAAGUUGCUAUUAGUUCUAUAUCAAAUAGCCCACUGAAGCCUGAAGAAUAUGGCGCAUUUAAGAAGGAAGACACAUUUUCAUUGGUCAGUCCAAAAAAACUAAAAGUGGCUGUAUAUUUAUUUAGUAAAGUUGUGGUUUUUGCUACGAAAACGAAAUGUACUAGUAGAUUUCAGUACUGGAAUAGUAUUUCAAUAAGUAGUCUUGGCAUAGUACUGACUCAUGAUAAAACACUACAUUUAGUGGAUUUUGAAAACAAAUCCAAAAAGAUCAAUUACGUCCUAAAAGCCAAAUCCAAAAAAUUGAAAGACGCAUGGUCAAAGGAAGUUGAAAACAUUUUGUGGAAAGAAUUCGAAGUACAAAAAGCGUCUACUAUGUCUAUAUCAUCAGAUUGGACAGGUUCUGUCGAUACUAUAAAAUCUGAAGAAGUUAUAUCAACACAUUCCGAAAAUAAUAGUUCAGAGAAUUCAUCGAAUACCGGAAGUGUUAAAAAUUUGCAAAAUAUUGAAGAAAUGUACGAAGAAAUAAAAAAUAAAAAAGCUGGAAGUAGUGAGGAUCUAGAAAAUUAUGGAAAUCUAUAUGAAAAUUCAAUAGUAAAUAAUCCUGCAGAUAAUGGUGCAUGUUGCAACAGUAUUUCAAACUGUGAGGAUUUAUACAAGAAUAGCAAACAAAUCUCUAAUUGUAAAAAAACUAGUGGUGGAAUAAGUAAUGAAACUAUAGAAAACUGUAAUGGAAAACCAAUUCAGGCAACGCAUCUUUAUGAAAACCUCAACGAUAUACAGAAAGAGGUGAUUGAAAAAUAUGGUAAAAAUGGGUUGUCUCAUAAAGAUGAAGCCAGUAACGUAGUUACUUUUGGAUAUAUUACUAAAAGUAUCGGUAAUGAGAGUGGUUUUUUUGAUGAAGCAGCAAACGGUUCUGACAGUAUUUAUGACGAUGUAUAUGAUGAUAGUGAUGACAUUACUGAUGACCACUCGUACACGAAUUGUAAUUGUUAUGGUUUUUAUUCCAAAAAUCUUAUCAACAAAAGUGUCCUAUAUGAGGAAAGUGUUUUAAGCAAUGAUCAGUCAGCUGAUACAAAAAAUAAAAUCAAAUUUAUUAUUGAAGAAAUGGUCCAAUCUGAGAAAAAAUACAUUUUGGAUUUAGAAAUAAUUAUAUAUGAAUAUCAAGAAUUGUUUAAACUAAGCGGAAUAAGUGACAUUGAAGAAAUUUUUGGAAAUAUCGAAGACAUAUAUAACAAGCAACUCCUUUUCUGUAAGCAGCUUGAAUUAGCCAAAGAACCUGAGGAUAUUUUAAAAUGUUUUUCCCAACAUGUAGGAGAGCUUGUUUAACAUGUAUCCAAUAUUUUUAAAACAAACCUUAUCAGCAAGUCAUGUAUUGGAAAAAUAUGAGGAAGCUUUACAGAAAGUUCAAAAGAAAACUAAUGAUCCUCUAAAUCUACCCUCGUAUUUGCUUAAACCUCUACAGAGGCUGGUGAAGUACAAGUUGUUUUUAGAAAAUAUCUAUAAGCAAGUCCAACGAGAAGAAAGAGUUGUCUAUGACUCUUUCGAAGCUUUAAAAAUCGUCAAGUGGAGCUUGUCUUUAGGUGAUCGAGAAGUUGCUAUUAGUUCCAUAGCAAACAGCCCUAUCAAACCUGAAGAAUACGGCGCUUUUAAGAAAGAAGAUAAAUUUUUAUUAGUCAGUCCAAAAAAACUAAACGUUGUUGUGUAUCUGUUUAGUAAAUUUGUUGUUUUUGCUACGAAA
rnacentral:misc_RNA from 1 species